rnacentral:lncRNA from 1 species
AACAGCAAUUGAUUUUUAUAUAUAUAGAUACUGUUUAUUAACCAUGAAAUAAUUAUAGUCAAAUGUGCAUCAGCUCAGAAUAGGUAUUAGAACUGAUUCAAUAUCGAUCAUUUACUGUAGUAGGUACUGACGAAUCUAUAAGCAUGGUGAACAAAUUGAAAUAUCCCUCUAUAAAUAUGAAUUUCCAAGAAUGAGACCGCACUGAAAUUCCAUAGGACAAAAAUAAAUAACCGUUUUUGAAACUUUAAGGUAAUAAAUACAUGAAUAAUAUUAAUUAUAAUGAAUAUGUAAUUUAUUUCAUAUUUACAAUCCGCUCACGGUUUUCUUAUGAAAUUCCUUUACCGAAAUAAAGUUUCAACUAUAUAUUAUACACCGUACCCUGAAUAAUAACUAACCGCCUUAUUCAUAGACCUUAUUUAUCUAAGGACGGGGCAUUGCUGUGAUAACAAGUCAGUUUCUCGGCUUUGUUUAUCUGAAAGUUUGCUGUUUGUUCAACUUUGUUUAUCUGACAGCCAACUAGAUUCAAGUUGUAUAUCAAUGCCAUAUGUUUACGCACUGCGAAGGCUGCUAUGCCGUCAGCACUGAGAAACAGACUUGUUAUCACAGCAAAGGUAGAGCUUAGAUAAAUAACAUCUAUGAAUAAGGGGGUAAGACUUAGCCUAGAUGUAGCCAGACCUCCCACGAGUGCGUCAUUCCGUAUGAGCCCAGCGCUGCGCCGAGUUGUAUCUUGAGUAAAACGACCCUACCCGCCGGCAGAGGUGACUUAAGAAGCGUUAACAAUACACUGAUCGAAUCCUAUACAACCAAUAUGAUGAAACUAUUAGUGUGGUCAACUGACUAAAUAUCAAAACUAAAGGUAUUGUGAAACUUAAAAUUGAUUUCCAAAGUGACAGCGAAAUUUAUGUUGUAUAAAAUAUGUCGGGAAAGAUACUCUCCUGGUUGAUAAAUCCAAAUAACUAGAUGUGUCGUGGUGAUUCUAAAAUAAUAUGUAAGUUCUAAAUUUGUAAGAAGUCACGUAUUUUUUUAAGUAUAAACUUGCACUUGAGAUUUGUUAAACCCUUCCGCUACCGUCAUCUGCACUCGAUUGGACGAUUUGAAAUUGUACGCAGGUAAUCGUUUGGAUUUCUUGUGAUAACACACAGAUAAGAUUAAAUAAUAGCAACAAAAUUAUAUAUAUUUACACUUCCUCGUAAAUAUUCACGAAAUCUUUCGAAAAUACUUCAAGUUAUAUAGUUUAUAUUUUAUGAGUUCACAAGAAUAAUGCAUAAGCAUUAUAUCACUGUGGGAGCAAAGAUCUGGUUUGCAAAAAAAGAAGCAUUAUACUGAAUAUUAUUGAAGAUAGAUACACCUCUGUGCCUUGUACCUCUCAAGCUCUUUAUUAUCUAUCGCAGAAUCUACCUCAUUAGUUUUCAUCCCGCUUAGUUUUGAAGGGAAAUGGAAAAUUAAUUAUAAAAUCUUCAUAAAUUGCAUUGCGUAAUACUUAAAUGCUCCCUGAUAUGAUGAAACCAAAUAUCCAUUUGUCCCAUUAAAGUCAAUUAACCACGGCCAUAAAUGUAUUUAGGGUAAAGUCCGCUUUCAUUAUAAAAAAAAAACUAAAACUACGUAAUAUUAGGAAAUACGCGGGAAAAUUUAUGAAUAUUGAGUCAGUCGACUUGCUUAAUUUAGUCCGUCGAAUGUUACACCUUGUAACACACCUUGUACAUAAACCUAACACUUCUUCCUCCUAUGACUUGGCAGCCCUGGUGUAUCAUAAAACCUUUUAUUAGUCAGACUGGGACAUUUAAAAUCACAGGAAAACCCGGGCGCAUCAUUGAGAACAAAAUAUCCUCAAUUUUUAACGUAUGCAUGAUCAGUUUAUAAGCACCCGUUCAGCAGUGAACACAAUCACCAUACCGCGAUUAGACAACUGUGAUGGCCGUUCAGGGUGUCUUGCUGUUAUUGAUGGUUGUGCUGGUGUUAGCGGGCGCGCAGUCUGCUCCCGGGCCCGUCUCUCCAACCGACAUGCUGAAUCCGCAGUCUUCAAAAACUGCCGGCUCGCUCCUCGCAGUCAUCGACCAUAUCUUGACUCCAGCAAUGCUGUCAAAUCGAAAUAAAGAUGGUUCAGGCGUGAUUGGCGUAAGAAAAUGUCCAGAAGGAUUUUACAGUGUACAAGAUUCCACAGAGUGUAUCCCAAAUGCACCAGAAUAAAAAUAUUUUUGUGUGUGUAUUUUCGCUUUCUGUUUCAUACAGUUGCCUUAACAAAGUGUUGUAAAUAUUAUAUGUAAUUCCAUAUUAUAAUUAAAUAAAUAAUAUUAUUGUUUGUGUUGAUAUUUCUUUGGUAGACGAGGCAAAAAGUAAGUCCGUAACCAAAAGGCCAUGUGAUUUUUCAGUUGCAACUUGUAGUCAUAGCUUCAUCGUAGUAAGCGUGGUUGCACCUAAAGUGGUGUUAGUGUAGGAAUGCCAUUAGACACGAGAUUGGAUGUCAUUUGCUACAUUACUAAACUACGGUGGUGUGUCAAACCUGCUUAUAAAAUUAUUUAUUUUUUAGCUUUUCAACCCAUGUGUCAAAUAGUGCGAAAUUAACCUAAACUAUAAAAAUUAAACAAACCUGGCAACACAUUGAAUGUACAAAAAAUGUUUAUGCCACCUCUUCUCAGUUCAAUAUUUCUAAAGAUUGCAUUGUUUUUGCGUUAACCAUAUUUUAUAAUAAGUCGAUAUAUUUUUUGUAUUUUUUUCAGUAGUAUUCUUGUCCGAAAUAAAUAGUUAUUUAGUGAAGUGAGAUGUUACAUAAUGUAACUGUUCAUUGUAGUUUGUGUCAGGUUAAUUAUUUGUAUGACUGGUCAAUGGCACACCAUGGUAACCGGAAUAUACUGUUUUAUAUACUGUCUCACUGUAGAGCACGGGCCUCCUCUACUACUAAAAAGGGUUAGGUUUCAGUCCACCACGCUGGUGGUCUAAUGCGGAUUGGCAGUCUUCAUAAUAUAUGUAUCCUCUAAACUUAUAGGGAACUUGCAGACAUUCAUCUCGGCAGUCCGUUCCACUCCCAACUAGGCCAUCGCUGCUUAAUACUUACAGGUUUUAAUUAUAUUUGAAUCUGUAUGUUGCCUAUGCUUAUAAAUAAAUUAUUUUAUUUUUA